UUCGUUGAAUUUCAGCAAGAAAUGCUGCAAAACGUUUUGUCCGGUAUGCUUACGAAUCUGCAAGCUCGCCACCUUAAGCUCGGUAAGAAGGGGAGGCUAUGUUUUGCCGGUGAGAUCAGAAUAACACCGAAACAUUCUUCUCAGGUACGUUAAAUCGACUCGAGUAUUGAACUGGUACUUCAUUUUAACAACUAGGAUGGAUGAAAGAUCAAUCUGACUUCAGCAGAAUCAGAAUUGAAACUGUAAAGACCCGGAACUAAACAUAGCCAUGCAUUUUGUCCAAUGCUUUUACGAUUCUGUCACUGUAUUGUCGAUAUCAAGACCUACAUAAAAUUAAAUCGAGCUCAUCUCAACAGAUUGUAAUACUUUUCGCCUGUCUUUAGUUCAGUUAUUAGUUUUACCUGUUCCUUUCAUUUACAAAGAGCUGUGGACCUCAAUUCGAUGUAGAGGUCGUGGGCCCUUCUAUG